ensembl:lncRNA
CCCAGUUCACCUAAACCCUUCAAUGGAUUCUUCUAGGUCCCAGUUUACCUACACCCUUCAAUGGAUUCUUCUAGGUCCCAGUUCACCUAAACCCUUCAAUGGAUUCUACCAGGUCCCAGUUUACCUAAACCCUUCAAUGGAUUCUUCUAGGUCCCAGUUUACCUAAACCCUUCAAUGGAUACUUCAGGUCCCAGACAGUUUACCUAAACCCUUCAAUGGAUUCUACCAGGUCCCAGACAGUUUACCUAACCCCUUCAAAGGAUUCUUCCAGGUCCCAGACAGUUUACCUAAACCCUUCAAUGGAUUCAUCAGGUCCCAGUUUACCUAAACCCUUCAAUGGAUACUUCAGGUCCCAGACAGUUUACCUAAACCCUUCAAUGGACUCGUCAGGUCCCAGUUUACCUAAACCCUUCAAUGGAUACUUCAGGUCCCAGACAGUUUACCUAAACCCUUCAAUGGACUCGUCAGGUCCCAGUUUACCUAAACCCUUCAAUGGAUACUUCAGGUCCCAGACAGUUUACCUAAACCCUUCAAUGGAUUCUACCAGGUCACAGUUUUCCUAAACACUUCAAUGGAUUCUUC